UUAUGUCUUCCUUGUGUCAGAAUGAUUUCUAAUACACGUUCAUGUAUUAUCAUAUUCAGGGAAUAUGUCCUACAUCAUCCCUCUUUUCAUUUAGGAACUUUAUUUCUGAAGUUCAAGAACAACAACAUAAACCUCACCUCACUUAUUUUUAACUUACCCCCGUUAUUUCUGUUCUUACAGCGUUCUUUGUUAUUACCCCAAUAGCUGGCUAGCUUGGUUCUUGCCGGCUGAACGUUACUGUAAUUAUUUUUGGACUGCUGAAGCCUCGCCUUGCUUACCUGGUACUGUUGUUUAUUUGUUUUAGUGACUGGCAGUUCUGACCCCUCUAUCUGCAGGGACGGCUCCUCGCUUGCUACUGCAUAAGUCAUAUCUGCAGCUGCUGCGUCUUUCCUAUGGAAACUCCCUAUUUUACAGGACCAGAUUUCUCAUGCCUUAUCCACUAUCACAUCCAUUGGGGAAGCAGAGUUCACAACCAAACUGGCUAACUCUCCUAUCACUGGAUCAGGGGUUCACUUUUCUUGAGAGAUGUGUGCUGGCUAUCAGGGAGGUGACAGGAGUUCAUUUUUCUUGAGAGAUGUGUGCUGGCUAUCAAGAAGGUGACAGAGGAGUUCAUUUCUCUGGAGAGAUGUGUGCUGGCUAUCAGGGAGGUGACAGGAGUUCAUUUUUCUUGAGAGAUGUGUGCUGGCUAUCAGGAAGGUGACAGAAGAGUUCAUUUCUCUGGAGAGAUGUGUGCUGGCAAUUGGGGAGGUGGGGGGUUGUCAGAACAAGCAUGACUCUUGUAUGAGUGGCACCAUUGUUGCUAUUUUUUGAGUGACACAUACCUUGUGACGAAUGUUAUUGAAAUGGAAACCUUUGAAUGUUUUUACUGCAACUCUUCACAAUAGUGUGCACCUCAGUGUUCAGAAAGUAAUCCAGCUCUCUUCUUUCAGAGUCUGUGAGCCACACCCUUAAAUCAGAAUGGAAGUGGAUCCUCGGCUCAGCAGAGAACACACUAUAAACAGGUUCGGAAGCAUUUAAACUAGAAAGGAAGGGGGGAGAAAUCAACAAAAAAACAGAAGGGAGACCGCAUCAAAA